AUUGAACGCUAGCGGGAUGCUUUACACAUGCAAGUCGAACGGAGUAGCGGAAGGGUGAGUAAUAGAUCGGCACGUGCCUAAUAGAGCGGGCUGAGUACGCGAAAGAGUGGCUAAUGGUGCAUAAUAUGGGAUCGGCUGUUCUCGGUUUAGCUAGUUGGUGGGGUAAAGGCUCACCAAGGCAACGAUCCGUAGCUGGUUUGAGAGGACGACCAGCCAAACUGGGACUGAGACACGGCCCAGACUCCUACGGGAGGCAGCAGUGGGGAAUUUUGGACAAUGGGGGAAACCCUGAUCCAGCCAUCCCGCGUGUAUGAUGAAGGCCUUCGGGUUGUAAAGUACUUUUGGCAGAGAAGCGGUAUCUGCAGAAUAAGCACCGGCUAACUACGUGCCAGCAGCCGCGGUAAUUC
rnacentral:rRNA from 1 species